AAGUCGUAACAAGGUCUCCGUUGGUGAACCAGCGGAGGGAUCAUUAGAGAGUGUUAAAACUCCCAAAACCCAUGUGAACAUACCUAUCGUUGCCUCGGCGGAGGGGCCGCCCAACACUGCCUGACCGGGUCUCGCUACCCGGGAGGGCAGGGUGCCCCCGCCGCCGCUGGCCCGCGAAACUCUGUUUUAUUUUUGCAACUCUGAAUCUCAAAACAAAUAAGUUAAAACUUUCAACAACGGAUCUCUUGGUUCUG
rnacentral:misc_RNA from 1 species